UAUCCCUCUUUUCACUAAAACCCUCCCUUCUUCUGCGAGCGAAACCCUCACCCUCACCUCAGCGCUGCGCCAUUCUUUCACCACUUCCCCAAUCGUUACGUUGUUGAGCUAAGUGUACGUUUCAGAGCCAUCAUCUUCUCAUUCUAUCGAUUCUAACAAGAAGCAAGUAAAACAGGAUGAUACGUCUCAAUUUCGGACUCAGUUUGGAUUCUCUAGUCCUUUGCAUUGUCGAAUUGACAACAAACGAUAAAGUUUCUUCAGUGGAAGCCAUUCUCACAAUGUUUAACUUCAAUGCAUUAGGAAGAGUUUAAGAAAAUGAAUCACACUAAGUGAAUUGCAAAUUUGGCUUUAGUUGGUUUGCUUAUCUUAUUGCUUCAGGCCGAAGCAGUGCUUCAGUGAUGUUGCUGUCAUCUUUUUUUUUUUUGAAGUGUUUAGUGGUUUCUAGUUCUGUUUUUAGGAGGGCAUCAUGGAGAUAAAGAACUUUCAAUUUCCUUCGCCGGUGACAAAAAUUUCAAUUCUUGAGUGCGCUUUAUUUCUCUGAGAGGUGGAUGUAGCUCAUUCUGUAGCAGUCAAUACUUGUGAUAGAGGUAUUUUAUAUUGAUUAAAUUUAACUUUUAAGGUAAUAGAAAAUUGAAGCGAAAGGUUCUUACAACUUUUUAAUGUGUGUGUGCGCGUAAGUAGUUUAACUCUGCUUUUCAUUAUUGAGUUUUCCUAUCAAAAUGUAUGCUAGUGUUUAGAACAUAGUUGGCUUAUAGAUAAGUAGCAAUAUUUUAUAAGGUUGCUCUAUCCUCUAUGACUUUUUUUUUUCUUCUUCCGAGUUGAUUAGUUUUUUUCAAUUGCUUGAAUUUGGCGAUGUGACACUCACCUUCUAGACUUUUAGUCUUGCUUUGUUCAUGUGUGAUUUUUCUAUCAAAAUUCUUAAAUUUGAUGGUAUAAGUUAGGUCUAUUUUGAUGGGUUAUAUAUUUUGUGGGUUAUGUAUUUUGUGGGAUAUUUUGGUGGGUUAUAUAUUAGUGAGUUAUAUUUUGAUUGAUGGUAAGUUAGGACUAUUUUAAUGGAUUAUAUAUUUUGCGGGAUAUUUUGGUGGAUGUAGACAUUUUUUGUUGAAAUUAUAUAUGGUUAUAUAUUAGAAAUAGAAGGUCUAGUAAAGAACUACUUAAUUUGUAUUUUAGAUGUACUAAUACUAAUUGUUUGUUGAUUUUCCAUCAGCUACAAAGCUAUAUUU